UUAACGAAUUACCAUUCAACCAUGUAGAAAGCUUCCUUGAUUUUGAUAAUAAAUUGAAGACUGGUUUAGUAAUGAUGCAAAAACUGAAAUGCUUUAUCAUGUUAAAUGUGAAAAGUACAUUAAAACUUUCUGAAAAUUUUUCUUUUAUAAUUCCUAAGAUUAUUUUACCAAAUAUUCAAGUGCUAUUCAGUGCUUUUGGGCGAGAAUCAAGAUUAUUUACCAAAUAUUCAAGCGCUAUUCAGUGCUUUUGGGCGAGAAUCAAACGGUGUAAAAAAGUUAAAUUUCUCUGGUACAGAAACUUACAAAUAUUUGCUAGAAGUAAUUAGAAAGAAAUUUCCUGACAUAAAUGAAAAAGAAAUUUCAAGUCAAAUAAGUCGCUGGUUUUCAGGUGCAAAGGAUAGAGAUGGUGGAAAGAGAUACCGAUUAUUAAAAUAAAAAAAGUCGUGAAGAGCGAAAGGAUAUCGAAAAUGAAGACGAAAUUCUAUAAUUUUAUCUAUUUGUAAUAAUA